rnacentral:rRNA from 1 species
GACGAACGCUGGCGGCGUGCCUAACACAUGCAAGUCGAGCGAAGCACAUAAAGUAGCUUGCUAUUUUUUGUGACUGAGCGGCGAACGGGUGAGUAACACGUGGGUAAUCUGCCUGGUAGACUGGGAUAACAGUUGGAAACGGCUGCUAAUACCGGAUGAUAUUUAACCUGUAGUAGGUUGAAUCAAAGCGUUAUGUAGCGCUAUCAGAUGAGCCCGCGUCCCAUUAGUUAGUUGGUGGGGUAAUGGCCUACCAAGGCGACGAUGGGUAGCCGGUCUGAGAGGAUGGACGGCCACACUGGGACUGAGACACGGCCCAGACUCCUACGGGAGGCAGCAGUGGGGAAUUUUGCGCAAUGGGGGCAACCCUGACGCAGCGACGCCGCGUGAGCGAAGAAGGCCUUCGGGUUGUAAAGCUCUGUCUAGGGGGAAGAUAGUGACGGUACCCCUGGAGGAAGCCCCGGCUAACUACGUGCCAGCAGCCGCGGUAAGACGUAGGGGGCGAGCGUUGUCCGGAAUUACUGGGCGUAAAGGGCGUGUAGGCGGCCUUUAAGUUGGAUGUGAAAGCUCCCGGCUUAACUGGGAGAGGACGUUCAAAACUGAAGAGCUUGAGUAUGAGAGAGGAAAAUGGAAUUCCGGGUGUAGUGGUGAAAUGCGUAGAUAUCCGGAGGAACACCAGUGGCGAAGGCGAUUUUCUGGCUCGUAACUGACGCUCAGACGCGAAAGCUAGGGUAGCAAACG